rnacentral:lncRNA from 1 species
GCGGUGCUUCUUGUGGACCACAAGCAAGCUCUUGCGCAGCACGGGGAGCAAGUGGCUAGGUGGAUUGAGAGAGCGGUGUGGAGCGGAGAGGAGAGUUCCUCAGAAACUUAGGCGGUGGCGCUGUGAGCACGAACAGGGAGCAAAGCGGGAGGGCAGCGAUGGCGAAGGGGAACUCCGGCGGGGCUCCGGCAUUCCCUUUUAUAGCUGCGCGGAAGAGAGAAGGUUGGAGCGGCGCAAGGACCGGGGAAGAAAUGAUGGAGUGCGCUGCCGAGGCGGCGAUUGAGCAAUGAGGG